rnacentral:rRNA from 1 species
GAUGAACGCUGGCGGCGUGCCUAAUACAUGCAAGUCGAGCGAACAGAUGAGGAGCUUGCUCCUCUGACGUUAGCGGCGGACGGGUGAGUAACACGUGGAUAAUCUACCUAUAAGACUGGGAUAACUUCGGGAAACCGGAGCUAAUACCGGAUAAUAUAUUGAACCGCAUGGUUCAAUAGUGAAAGACGGUUUUGCUGUCACUUAUUGAUGGAUCCGCGCCGCAUUAGCUAGUUGGUAAGGUAACGGCUUACCAAGGCAACGAUGCGUAGCCGACCUGAGAGGGUGAUCGGCCACACUGGAACUGAGACACGGUCCAGACUCCUACGGGAGGCAGCAGUAGGGAAUCUUCCGCAAUGGGCGAAAGCCUGACGGAGCAACGCCGCGUGAGUGAUGAAGGUCUUCGGAUCGUAAAACUCUGUUAUUAGGGAAGAACAAAUGUGUAAGUAACUAUGCACGUCUUGACGGUACCUAAUCAGAAAGCCACGGCUAACUACGUG